rnacentral:rRNA from 1 species
AAUAAACGCUGGCGGCGUGCUUAACACAUGCAAGUCGAACGAGAAAGUUCUUCGGAAUGAGUACAGUGGCGAACGAGUGAGUAACGCGUAAGAAUCUGCCUUUUAGUGAAGAAUACCCUUGAGAAAUCGAGGUUAAUGCUGCAUACGUCCUACGGGAGAAAGAUGGCCUCUUUGCUGUCGCUAAAAGAUGAGCUUGCGUACUAUUAGUUAGUUGGUGAGGUAAUGGCUCACCAAGACGAUGAUGGUUAGCCGGCCUGAGAGGGUGUACGGCCACGCU